rnacentral:rRNA from 1 species
GAUGAACGCUGGCGGCGUGCCUAAUACAUGCCAGUCGAGCGAACAGACGAGGAGCUUGCUCCUCUGACGUUAGCGGCGGACGGGUGAGUAACACGUGGAUAACCUACCUAUAAGACUGGGAUAACUUCGGGAAACCGGAGCUAAUACCGGAUAAUAUAUUGAACCGCAUGGUUCAAUAGUGAAAGACGGUUUUGCUGUCACUUAUAGAUGGAUCCGCGCCGCGUUAGCUAGUUGGUAAGGUAACGGCUUACCAAGGCGACGAUGCGUAGCCGACCUGAGAGGGUGAUCGGCCACACUGGAACUGAGACACGGUCCAGACUCCUACGGGAGGCAGCAGUAGGGGAUCUUCCGCAAUGGGCGAAAGCCUGACGGAGCAACGCCGCGUGAGUGAUGAAGGUCUUCGGAUCGUAAAACUCUGUUAUUAGGGAAGAACAAAUGUGUAAGUAACUAUGCACGUCUUGACGGUACCUAAUCAGAAAGCCACGGCUAACUACGUG